AUUGAACGCUGGCGGCAGGCCUAACACAUGCAAGUCGUGCGAUCGGCGGACGGGUGAGUAAUGUAUGGGGAUCUGCCUGAUGGAGGGGGAUAACUCCUGGAAACGGUAGCUAAUACCGCAUACCAUCAGAUGAACCCAUAUGGGAUUAGCUGUUGGGUAAGGUAACGGCUUACCUAGGCGACGCUCCCUAGCUGGUCUGAGAGGAUGAUAAGCCACACUGGGAGUGAGACACGGCCCAGACUCCUACGGGAGGCAGCAGUGGGGAAUAUUGGACAAUGGGCGCAAGCCUGAUGCAGCAAUGCCGCGUGUAUGAAGAAGGCCUUCGGGUUGUAAAGUACUUUCAGUCGGGAGGCGUUAACGACAGAAGAAGCACCGGCUAACUCCGUGCCAGCAGCCGCGGUAAUAC
rnacentral:rRNA from 1 species